rnacentral:misc_RNA from 1 species
GCCCAUGCUAAUGCAAUCCAAGAGGAAAGGUCAGAGCAAUAUUAGCAUGCACUUAUUGGUUAAUCAACCUGCGGAUGUCCCUGACCAGACUGAAGUUUCCAUUUACAUUAACUUCAGCAGUCAGCAUCAGGGAACAAGCUUGUUAGACCUCUUCUAUUGCCAUUUAUCUUCUUUCCCAUGAAAUCGAGAGGCCACGCAAGAGCAGCCCAUUAUUCAGCUUCACCGAAGCAACACUUAAGAGCUCCAUCAAAAUAACUUUCAUCUUUUCCUUUCUUUCAAGGAGCCACCCUUUUAACUGAAUAAAUCGAACUGAAACGUCUUAAUUCGGUAAUUCAAUUCGAAUUUAAA